rnacentral:rRNA from 1 species
CCUACGGGCGGCAGCAGUCGAGAAUCAUUCACAAUGGGGGAAACCCUGAUGGUGCGACGCCGCGUGGGGGAAUGAAGGUCUUCGGAUUGUAAGCUCCUGUCAUGUGGGAGCAAAUUAAAAAGAUAGAGUCACAAGAGGAAGCGACGGCGAACUCGGUACCAGCAGCCGCGGUAAUACAGAGGUCUCAAGCGUUGUUCGGAUUGACUGGGCGUAACGCGUGCGUAGGCUGUUUCGUAAGUCGUGUGUGAAAGGCGCGGGCUCAACCCGCGGACGGCACAUGACACUGCGAGACUGGAGUAAUGGAGAGGCAAGCGGAAUUCCCGGUGUAGCAGUGAAAUGCGUAGAUAUAGGGAGGAACACUCGUGGCGAAGGCGGGUUCCUGGACAUUAACUGACGCUGAGGCACGAAGGCCAGGGGAGCGAAAGGGAUUAGAUACCCGGGUAGUC